rnacentral:rRNA from 1 species
UGAGCAAUCUGCCCUUCUCAUCGGAAUAAGCGUUGGAAACGACGUCUAAUGCCGAAUACGACCUCCUUUCGCAUGAUCGGAGGUGGAAAGCUCCGGCGGAGAAGGAUGAGCUCGCGGCCUAUCAGCUAGUUGGUGUGGGUAAUGGCCCACCAAGGCGACGACGGGUAGCCGGCCUGAGAGGGUGACCGGCUACACGUGGGGCUGAGACACGGCCCAGACCUCCGUACGGGAGC